rnacentral:rRNA from 1 species
AACGAACGCUGGCGGCAUGCCUAACACAUGCAAGUCGAACGAUACCUUCGGGUCUAGUGGCGCACGGGUGCGUAACGCGUGGGAACCUGCCCUUAGGUUCGGAAUAACUCCCCGAAAGGGGUGCUAAUACCGGAUAAUGUCUUCGGACCAAAGAUUUAUCGGCUUUGGAUGGGCCCGCGUUGGAUUAGCUAGUUGGUAGGGUAAAAGCCUACCAAGGCGACGAUCCAUAGCUGGUCUGAGAGGAUGAUCAGCCACACUGGGACUGAGACACGGCCCAGACUCCUACGGGAGGCAGCAGUGGGGAAUAUUGGACAAUGGGCGAAAGCCUGAUCCAGCAAUGCCGCGUGAGUGAUGAAGGCCUUAGGGUUGUAAAGCUCUUUUACCCGGGAUGAUAAUGACAGUACCGGGAGAAUAAGCUCCGGCUAACUCCGUG